rnacentral:rRNA from 1 species
GAUGAACGCUGGCGGCGUGCCUAAUACAUGCAAGUCGAGCGAACAGACGAGGAGCUUGCUCCUCUGACGUUAGCGGCGGACGGAUGAGUAACACGUGGAUAACCUACCUAUAAGACUGGGAUAACUUCGGGAAACCGGAGCUAGUACCGGAUAAUAUAUUGAACCGCAUGGUUCAAUAGUGAAAGACGGUUUUGCUGUCACUUAUAGAUGGAUCCGCGCCGCAUUAGCUAGUUGGUAAGGUAACGGCUUACCAAGGCGACGAUGCGUAGCCGACCUGAGAGGGUGAUCGGCCACACUGGAACUGAGACACGGUCCAGACUCCUACGGGAGGCAGCAGUAGGGAAUCUUCCGCAAUGGGCGAAAGCCUGACGGAGCAACGCCGCGUGAGUGAUGAAGGUCUUCGGAUCGUAAAACUCUGUUAUUAGGGAAGAACAAAUGUGUAAGUAACUAUGCACGUCUUGACGGUACCUAAUCAGAAAGCCACGGCUAACUACGUG